AACCUGGUUGAUCCUGCCAGUAGUCAUACGCUCGUCUCAAAGACUAAGCCAUGCAUGUCUAAGUAUAAAUCUUUUACUUUGAAACUGCGAACGGCUCAUUAUAUCAGUUAUAGUUUAUUUGAUAGUCCCUUACUACUUGGAUAACCGUAGUAAUUCUAGAGCUAAUACAUGCGUCAAUACCCUUCUGGGGUAGUAUUUAUUAGAUUGAAACCAACCCCUUCGGGGUGAUGUGG
rnacentral:rRNA from 1 species